GUACGCUGCCACUUUAAGACCAAUUUCGGCUGCUGCAUAUAAGCAGGUCUCUACCUGCCACAAGACUACUUGCGUCAUGACGUCAACUCAUUCUGCUUAGUUUGUUUGCUGAGCUGUGCUGGGUAAGCGUGGCUGUUUCUUUGUUUGUCAGCUUUUAUCAUAGCAAUUAAUGCAAGCUGGUCUGAUCUGUUUAGCCUCCCUUGCUGCGCCUCCAACUCCUGGACCAAUUUGUUCGGUUGUUUGCUGCCGGGAAGGUAAGCGCUAGCAUGGCUAGGUAACAUCCAUCUCAUGUAAACGAAGCCUUUAUGUAGUAUUCUGUUACAGCUGCGCUCCAUAGGCGAACUUGUGGAUCUGUUUAUCUGGCCGUGUGGUAAUUUACAGGGACUGAGGCUUCUGUGGUGGUGAUCCCAGGUGGCGGUGUCUUGUCUUGUGUGUUUUGUUGGAACACCCCUUUUUGUGUGUGUGUGUGUGUGUUUGCCGUGUCUUUCUAGUGUCCAGGGUGAUCCCUUUUCUUCACUGGAUGUUGCCCCUUUCCUCACUACUCCCCCCCCCACUGGAUGUGUUGCAAGCUAUCAGUUUCCUUUGAAAUUUAAACAUUUUAUAAUCAACUUUAUUAAAAAGGCAUUCACUGUUUUAACUAUUCAAUUUCAGGUUAUUGUUAAUUUAAACAACCUAUUAAAGUUUAAUAAAUUUUUUGUAGAACUGUC